rnacentral:rRNA from 1 species
UACAGGGGGUGCAAGCGUUGUCCGGAAUCAUUGGGCGUAAAGCGCGUGUAGGCGGUUCGGUAAGUCUGCUGUGAAAGUCCAGGGCUCAACCCUGGGAUGCCGGUGGAUACUGUCGGACUAGAGUACGGAAGAGGCGAGUGGAAUUCCCGGUGUAGCGGUGAAAUGCGCAGAUAUCGGGAGGAACACCAAUUGCGAAGGCAGCUCGCUGGGACGUCACUGACGCUGAGACGCGAAAGCGUGGGGAGCAAACAGG